UACGUAGGGGGCUAGCGUUGUCCGGAAUCAUUGGGCGUAAAGAGCGUGUAGGCGGCUCGGUAAGUCCGCUGUAAAAGUCCAGGGCUCAACCCUGGAAAGCCGGUGGAAACUGUCGAGCUAGAGUCCGGAAGAGGCGAGUGGAAUUCCUGGUGUAGCGGUGAAAUGCGCAGAUAUCAGGAGGAACACCAAUGGCGAAGGCAGCUCGCUGGGACGGUACUGACACUGAGACGCGAAAGCGUGGGGAGCAAACAGG
rnacentral:rRNA from 1 species